CGCCUGCGUCUCCAGAAACUUGAACACGUGCACCAGGCCGCGCAUACAGAGCUGAAAGUACACCAAAGAACAUGAAUUAUGCCCAAGCCGUAAGAACUAGAAGGCUGAAAUUUUGCACUGUGGUUGCCUUAGGUGAUGAAGGUAAUCGUAAUCGGAAAAUCUCACCCGCAAGUGUGGUAAAAUUGCGAAAAACAUUUGUAUUCAACUUUUUUGUUUACCUUUAUUUAUUUUUUUUUUUUUCAAAUUAAUUUGAGGAGUAUUUUCUCCUUGCUGGAAAUCGGGGUCAGAGAUUUUUCGGGUGAUGUUUCGCGGUCAAAGUCAUUUCCAAAGAUUUAUAUGAAAAAUCACUUGAGACAUGUUUUACACUUUAACUCGGUAAAAUAUACAAAGAUUUGUUUGGCGAAUUGCACCCGCAACUGGGGAAAUUAGGAAGCCUUUGAAAUUUCUGAUUCCAAAAUUUA